CGCUCGGCUAAAGAUAACGACUCGGCUCCAGUUACAAAGCCUUUCCCAAACACGAACGCAGCCGGUGAAUAAGCCGCGCCGGCAUGCCAGCCGAUGUGUCACUGCUACUUAAGAAAAGGGGAAGGAGAGAAAUGGAAAGGAAAGGAAGUGGUGGGAGAAACAUUUUUUUUUUUUUUUGUGGAAGACUGUAACUGUUGCUUUUGUUGGAAAACCCUGGUGACCUGGACUAUUGUCACGAGAGAACAAACACAAGCGGCUUCUGAGUGGCUGUUCAAGUAAAUGAUUGUUUACCAGCGGAGGGAGUCAGCAGGGCAGGCGUGGGACCUUCAUAAACAACACCUGCUCCACAUAAAAUUACUAAGAAGAUCGAUCCAGACUCGUGUCACCUGCACAUCGGGCUAUCGCUGGCGCUUCAGGCCCCUCAGAGUGCUGCCUCCCAUCAGCCCUGGCUGAGCUCCAGACGACAGGCCUCUGCCUAGCGCUCUAAUGACUUACAGAUUGGAACUCUGUGGCAUACAUGUGUCAGGACGAUGCCACGGGCCGACUGCAAAAACAGUGGGAGAGCAGAGAGAAAGAGAGCCGGCGGCUUCUCCCCGUCCUGUCAGCGAGUGCUUGGCCCCUGGAUUGUGUCACAUCACGCUUCCCCCCAACAGACCACAACUGAAGGAUGUGAAGAGCAAACGCACGGAGGAGGAGGGGUCCUGGAAGGAGGCUCUCUGACUUAAAAGGCUUUCAUUUUGUAAACUAAAAAACAUUAUCAUUUGACCCGCUCAUGCCCUUUGUGAGGCCUGGACACUAAAAAACAGAAAAGAAAGGGAUUGAAAGAUGUGUGGACUGUAGCUCUACCAGGGGAUGGUGUGCAUUAUUUAUAACAGCUACAGUUUCAAAUAUCACUGUCAUGUCGGAAGAAUAGGAAAUGAUUAAACCUUUGAAAUUAAAGAGUUUCAACCAAUUUUCAAAUUAAAAUGUUGAACUUUU